AAUAAACCAAUUUUUCAUUUUUACCUAUAAUUUUUGACUCUUCGUCUUAUUUAAAAAAAAUUUGUGAUUGAUAUUUUUGUUUUUAUUAGAUGAUAAAUCAUAAAUAGUACUUUACGUGUGACUAAUUUUUUUUUAAUUUUUUAAAAAAAUUUUAAAUACGGAUUGUCAACCAUCGGACACGAAAACAGAGGGAACAUACACUUAAA
rnacentral:pre_miRNA from 1 species